rnacentral:tRNA from 3 species
GGGCGGUUGGCACAGUUGGCUCAGCGCGCUGCCCUUACAAGGCAGAGGUCGCAGGUUCGAAUCCUGCACCGCCCA